UACAGAGGGUGCAAACGUUGCUCGGAAUUAUUGGGCGUAAAGCGCGUGUAGGCGGCUCGUUAUGUCGGCUGUGAAAGCCCAUGGCUCAACCAUGGAAGUGCAGCCGAAACUGGCGAGCUUGAGUCCUGGAGAGGGUGGCGGAAUGCCCAGUGUAGAGGUGAAAUUCGUAGAUAUGGGUAGAACACCGGUGGCGAAGGCGGCCACCUGGACAGCG
rnacentral:rRNA from 1 species